UACGGAGGGGGCGAGCGUUAUUCGGAAUUAUUGGGCGUAAAGGGCGCGUAGGCGGCUGUACAAGUCAAAGGUGAAAUCCCUCGGCUCAACUGAGGAACUGCCUUUGAAACUGUACGGCUGAGGCCGGGAGGGGUAGCGGAAGUCCCAGUGUAGCGGUGAAAUGCGUAGAUACUGGGAGGAACACCAGUGGCGAAGGCGACUCACUGGACACGUAUUGACGCUGAGGUGCGAAGCGUGGGAGCAAACAGG
rnacentral:rRNA from 1 species